AUGCCACCGGACGAAGCGAUCGGGCCACAAUUCUGAGAACGGAACGAGGCCCAGGAAAGUCCCCGGGCCAUGAUCUGCAGAGAUGCAGCCCUGGAAACAGGUGGCCUCCGAGUGCUUGGAGUCUUAUCGACUUGUUCGAUGGGCUGAGACACGCGUGGAGCUUUAUAGGCUUCAUGCCCGGAUAUCCUUGGCCAAUGGUAUAGUUAUUCGCUUGGUCAUUUGCUGGACCUAACCGAACGGGGCUUACGUUCUAGUGGCA
rnacentral:RNase_MRP_RNA from 1 species